UAGGCAUAGGAGAAGGAUUUUCAAAAACAAUGAAAGCAAUUACUUAGAAUGAUGAACAAUAAUAGGAACAUCGACAUCGGUCCAAUUGUUGCAAGCUUUUCCAUGCGUCACAAAAUUGGUGCGGUCUUCAUCUUCAUCACCCUAGAUCACAACAGCUAAGUGUUGUUCAUUACCAUGAAUGAACCCUCCGCUACAAAAACUGGGUUUCACAUCUUCAGCUCU
rnacentral:lncRNA from 1 species